ensembl:snoRNA SNORD116 Small nucleolar RNA SNORD116
GGAUCGAUGAUGACUCCCACAAAUGCAUUCCUUGGAAAUCUGAACAAAUGAGUGAGCCAUCACUACCGUCUCCUCAUCGGAACUGAGGUCC